GCCUGGGUGGCUCAGUCAGUUGAGCGUCUGACUUCGGCUCAGGUCAUGAUCUCGCGGUCUGUGAGUUCAAGCCCCACGUCGGGCU
rnacentral:tRNA from 1 species